rnacentral:rRNA from 1 species
CGCCCGCCCCUCCCUUCCCCAGAUACUGUUCCUCUUUGCUCUUCCUCCACACACAAUUUCUCUCCUCUCCUCUUCCCCAAAACGCCACCGCCGCCAGCAACUCAGCUCGCCCUGCUUCGCCCGCGUCUCCGCGGUCUCCACUCUGCUCUGCUUGUGAUGGCCGCCGUGCCCACUCCUGUGACGUGCCGAUCUGGCGGCGGCACGGCCGGGCGCGAUGUGGAGAGCCGGCGGGCGAUGGUGGUCGCGCAAGCCCGUGGAGGACGGGAUCACACCCAUUCUGCGCUGCUCUUCCCACCCCACCACCGCAGGCAGGCGCUCUUGCCCCUGCUCCUGUCGUCUCGUCUUCCUCGGCCAUCGCCGAGACCAAUCAAGAUGGCGUUCGUCGUGGCGAAGGGGGUCAAGAUGGAAGCCGCCACUGCCGCAACGACAACCACCACCUCCGAUUCUUGUUCUCGUGUGUCCGUCCAGGAGGACGAGGUGAUAUAUCUUCCUCAAACCUUCCGCAUUAAAAUCUAUAUUAGGUUGGACUCUGUUUUAUUCGGUUGGGCGUGAUGUUUAAAUUUCGUCAAGAGAGGUUUUCCAACAAUUUUGAUCUUUCUCGAAAGAAAACAAAGGAGGAGGGGAAAGGUCGUCUACAGGGGUAGGAGGCAGGGAUAAGGUAGGAAGAUAGCUCGGCCAGACCGCCAACACCCCGGCCGCGGCUUCUGUCGGACGCCAUCCCCUUCAUCUUUCCCCUACCCUUGAAUCGAACAGGCAAGGUAGGUGUGUCCUAAAAUAUGAUGUUUUCUCUAUUGGGACUUAUCCCUUUCGUUGUUCCCACUUUUCAGGAAGUAGUAUGGAUGCAGUUUGCUUAGCUUUGCAUCUGUACUCUUAUGCUUUUCAAGUCAUUCUAUUGGGUUGCAGCUUGUAGGGUGGAACCAUAAUUUGGCAUGGUUGCUUCUAAGUUUUGAUUGGUCGAUUUGCUGAUGUCUUCGCUCUAUGUGUCCAGGUUAAAGUUCAAUCCUGCAUAAUUGUCAGUUUGUGAAGUCUACCAAAAACUCUUGCCCAUGAUAGAUGUAAGAAGUGCAUAAUUGAUUGAUGGAUCUGUUAGUUUGAUAGUUUUUUUAGCGUUGCACCUUUCUCUUCUACAAAUUGCAGAUGUGCUCACAGUUUUGUGUGUUUAGUUUAGGAGUUGGUCCUUGCGAAGCACAAAUAAAACAUUAUUGGCAAGCUAGUGCAGUUUUGUUACUUCCAGGUAUCUACAAUUGAGUGGAUGAAGGAAUAUUUUUUACCAGGACGAAUUAUAAUGUCUUUGAAACAGAUGUUGUUCUCAUGAUCUUGCCUUUUAAUUGUUUGACCACCCAAAAUUUGGCAUGGAAACUACAGAGGUACUAUGUAUUGUUGUAUUAGUUCUGCCGGAUUUAGAGGUGUAUAAAUGUGCAUUAGUUCUUCCGGAUUCAAAUGAUACUUUGUACUGAUGUAUAUUUUCUGAAGAUGAACUUAAG